rnacentral:tRNA from 1 species
GCCUCCGUUGCUUAGGUGGUAGAGCGUUGCCUUGGUAAGGCAAUUCAGAAAGGAAAUAUCCUUUUGAGCUUAAAGGUCGCGGGUUCAAAUCCCGCCGGGGGCU